AUAUUUGAAAAUGAUAUCUACAAUGACAAUUGCACGAUAUCGAUAGGUGAUUGAGCACAUGCGUCCUCGAGGAAGAAAAAGUCAGACACAGUUCAACGUUCUGAGCGGCGAAGCGGUAUGUACUUGCUAUAUAUGCGAUCCAGCUGUUUAAAGUUAACUUGUCAGGGAGUGUUCGCAGCGAAUGUCAUGCUGACAGUUUCGUGAAGACAAUGUGAAUGCCAACGAUGGCGACCCACAAAAGUUCAACGAACGGAUGCAUUCAACAGAUGCAUACGCGCUCUCGAUGCUUCCGAUGUUCCAACACAGAAAUGAUGUUGCAUUAGGCUAAAUAUGAUUAGUCCAAUUAGCUCGAAUAUAAAAUUUAUUUUGGGUGGCCAACUCUUGCGAAGGGACGCGAUAAUCCUGACAAUUAGGCUAAUUGCGGUUAAAAUGACGAAGGAAGUGAC